UACGAUUUUUACCUCUUAUAUUUUUUGGUUUUCUACACCAGUAUUCUGGAAUUGAGGAAAGCAUUGAGUUAUUUAAUUCAGCUCACAGCUUACUCCAUCUGAUUGUUUGGGGUGCUUUCUGAUAGACUUUGGAAGCUCAAACAGGCAGGACCUUAAAUGUUGAGUGAACAGCCAGCAGCAAUAUGAUGUGGGCAGGUUGACUUCUGAAGCCUAGUGUUAGCAUUUCUGUUUGUGACUCCCUCCCUGUCCCUGUCCUAGCUAUUGUACCAUUAACUAGAAUAUCGAGUCCCAGACUAUCCUGCUGCCCUGAGUAUAUAGCCUUAGGAGUACUGAAGAGCUCAGCACUCAAAUAAGAUUUGAGUAAAUGUAUUUCACAGCUCUUUUUUGUUCCCCUCUUCAGAGCUGUGCCAUCAGCAAACACGGCCUGACAGGACCCACAGGCAGCACUUAGACGGCGUGGGGGCUGUGCCCAUGGUGGAGCGAGUGACAGCUCCAAAAGCAGAGCGCUUGCUCCACCUGCCGCCACCUGUGCAUGACCCCACCCACAGCAAAAUGAGAUUGCGAGAUCAUUCAUCUGAGAGAAGUGAAGGUACGGCCAGGCCCGGCACCUCUACCUGCAUUGGUACUUGCUCAGAGCUUUCUGGGACAGCCCAAGCUUCUCUAAAACCCCUAACCCAAGCUUUGUCCAUCACUUGCUAGAAAGGCAUAGCAGGGUCACUGUUGCUUCUUCUAAAUGCAGGUCACUUCUUACUGCUACAAUAUCUGCCCUGUCCCCUAUUUCCCAUCAGCUAGUUUGCUGCAGCUUUUUUAUCCUCUAGGCUUAAAAAAGCACUUUUUGCCUUUAGUGUAUAUUGCUGGCCUUCCUAACAUAUGUCAGAAGUCGAACUGGCUAGCCAUUUAGCCAUGUAUUUCUCUCUUUUCUGUUGACUUUUGCAGUGUUGAAGCAUCACACAGACAUGAGCAGUCCGAGCUACUUGACAGCUACCCACCAUCCACCCCACAGCCCCCUGGUGAGACAGCUCUCCACCUCAUCAGACACCUCCACACCCACCAGCUCGGGCUCACAAGUUGCAGCCAGCACAUCUGUAAGUACCUAUGUGGAGUUGAUAGGACAUUCUCCAGAUUACAGGGCACUCAUAAUAGUUCUAGAGACCAAUGUAGAUACUUGAUCCUCUGCUAAGUUUUCUUAUGGUUGCUUUUUAUAGUAAAAGUGGAUCUCUGCUAAGUCAUGGGUAGACAGUUGCUGUAGCAGCAAGGGUGUGUGGUGGCGGUGGUGGUCUUGUUACUGAUAAUGAUGAUAAUACUUUGAUGGGUUUAGUUGGCUGAUUUUUGAGCAGGAAAGUACUAGGACUUUAUCCAUAGUUGGCAUGGUCUGACCUACAACACACUGUCUAGAGACAGGUUUUCUGAAGGUGCUUUUUGACUCUUUGGAAUCUGUUUUCACCCAGAACUUGUAUACCAUGGCACCCUAAUCUUUUUAGCACAAGAAGUAAACAUGAGAAGAAGAAUGAAGGAGAGCUAUUUUUAGACAUUUAAGGCUACAAUUUUCUUGUUUCUGCUAUUGAUGAAUGGCAGUGGGAUGCUAAGAAUGAAUGAGGGAGACGGUAGAAUCAACGCUUUUUCCGUGUGUACAGAGCAGAAAUAUGCAGCAGGCUACUGUGGCCAUAUUUACUCUUAGUGUGUGCAUAGGGGGAGCCAUUUAAGGCAUACUCACUACUUUCUACACUAUCAAACCCCAUUCUGGAAGUUAUUUGGAUAACCAUUCCAAACAUUGCCUAGUUAAACACAAACCUAUAGCCGGGUAUACUUAUCCAACCAUCCUUUAUGGUAAUUACAAUAACAAGUGUAACUGUACUUGUAAUAAUAAAAUCUGUUGCUGUGAUAUUUUUUAAACACUUGCACUACAGGUCUUGAUGGUACAGGUCUGUAAUUCUAAAACUUGGGAGGCUGAGGCAAAGAGGAUCAAUAGAUAAUACAUGCCAUCCCAUUUAAAUUAUACUGUCCUUUGAUAAAUAGAUAGCAUUAUGAAUACUGAUUUUUGUGGACAUGAAAACUAAGACUUCCCAAGGUUGUGUGUGUUUCAUAAGGUGAGACAGUUUGAGGGGUGUGAUUGUGAUUCAAACCCUUGUAGUCUGACUACAAGGUCAGCUCUCUGACCAGUACAUCACACAGCCUUGGCCUGAGAUGGGGUGUCAGAGAAGCUCUAAGCUCACAAAAUGUGCUCACUACGCUCCUGGAAUCAGGUACAAAUUCACAUUGUUCUUUGGUCUUACAGAGAGCCUCUUCCAAAUAGCCUUCUUCCUUCACCUUCUCGUCUCAAAGACUCUGUCUGAAUAGGUGUAUAGUAUUCCUCACACACUAGCCAAGGGUUUCACAUAAUCAGACAGAGAGAAGAGUAAUGAGAGUAAUUCUCAUUUAAAAACAACAGAACCAUGGACUCGAAGGUUAAGGACUUGGUAAAUCUGUCUGUCUGUCUCUUUCUUUCUUUCUUUCUUUCUUUCUUUCUUUCUUUCUUUCUGUCAGCCCUGAUGAUUCUGGAGAGUGGUGACUUAGACCAUUUAGAAUUAACUUACUAAAUGCAUAUUUUAUGCAUAGCGUGCUAAUGUUUUAGCCCCUGCCCCCACCCCACCCUUUUUUGACAAGGUUCCUCUAUAUAGUCCUAUAGUUCACUGGCUCAAAAUUCACAGAAAUCCUCCUGCAUCUGCUUCCCAAGUGCUGGGGUUAAAGACAUUUGCCACACCCAGCUCCUUUUGGGCUCUUAUUGCCUCAUUUAUUCAGGGAAUCAAGAUUUAUUGAAUAAUGAGCAGAGUGAUAUGCCAAAUUUAGGUUGAUAAGCAAGAUGGUAACAGGAUGGUCUUUCAACACAUUGUGAUUAUUUUGUGUGCAUCUUGAAAUCCUGUUAAUUUUAAAAAAUACUUAGCAAAUUUUAAAAAUCAGACAUACC
rnacentral:lncRNA from 1 species